GUGUUUGACGGGCUGGAGCAAGAGGGUGCCAAUGAUGCUGAUAUCGUUGAGCUGAAAUGCUUUUGCUUUCUACAAAGAAUAGAGAAAAAGGAAGAAAGAGGAUGAUCUAGAGUAGAUUAUGAUGUGGUGGUGGUAGUUUAACUAUUUACCGAUGAUCGUUAAUGAUGUCGUAGAGGAGGUAGAUAGAAAGAUUAGAUUGCAACAAAAAUUAAGUCGAUUGAUCUAAUUAAACAUUUUUAAACUAUAUGAGAUAUAUGAUCAAGAAGGCAAAGUUGAGAGGGUAGGAGAUAAUUUUCUCUAGAAUUAAAAUGAUAUAUAAAUUCAA
rnacentral:lncRNA from 1 species